UACGAGACGGUAUACUACAAGUGA
rnacentral:siRNA from 1 species